rnacentral:rRNA from 1 species
GAUGAACGCUGGCGGCGUGCCUAAUACAUGCAAGUCGAGCGAACAGACGAGGAGCUUUCUCCGCUGACGUUAGCGGCGGACGGGUGAUUAACACGUGUAUAACAUACCUAUAAGACUGGGAUAAUUUCGGGAAACCUGAGCUAAUACGGGAUAAUAUAUUGAACCUCACGGUUCAAGAGUGUAAUAAGCUUUUGCUUGCACUUAUAGAUGGAUCCGCGCCGCAUUAGCUAGUUGGUGAGGUAACUGAUUACCAAGGCAACGAUGCGGAGCCGACCUGAGAGCGUGGAUCACCACCCUGUCUGUGAGACACGGCCCAGACACCUACACGAGGACACGGUAGGGAAUCCUACGCAAUGGGGGAGUGCCGGACGGAGCAAAGCGGCGUAAGUCAUGACGCUCUUCGGCUCCUAAAACUCUGUUAUUAGGAGAGAAGAAAUGUGUAAGUAACUAUGAACGUAUUGACGGUACCUAAUCAGAAAGCCACGGCUAACUACGUG